AUAUCUGCUGGAGUGGUUUGUGGAGCUGCAGUUAUCAUAACAAUAUUGCUGAUUUGGUGGAUGAAAAAGAGAAAUAAAACUCAGGUGAAUCAUUCCGGACCUCAUCAUGACCGGCACAACUCUUGCAAUGAUGAAUUGAAUGAACCUGUAUAUGCAAAUGAAAUGGUAGG